CCCCAGAUUGCGGAUGUCAUUCAUCACAUACUCCACGCAGGGCAACACCAUCAUGAAACUCACCUCAAACAGAAAUGUAAUAAAGAAUAGUCUUAAAAGACUUCGGAAUAUAGUGCCUAAAGGAGCCAGAAACAUGCAGGAAGGAUUAAAAAAGGCCAAUGAGCAGAUUUACAAAGUUCAGUCCAGCAGCUGACAAGGCUCGGAGAAUGAAGGCCAAGGUUUACUGCAUUGGUAUGAAAGAUUAUAAGGCAUACCAGCUGAAUAAAUUUAUAGAAGCAAAGACUCACUUCUUUAACAUGGAGCAAAUCGAAGACCAGAAACGAUUAAUUGCAUCGAUCGUGGGAAAUUCCUGUGUGGAACUUAUGGCUAAAGACACUUACUAUGUCUGCGUAGGAAACGACUACAGUCUUGAGUUUUAUACAUAUGGUCUAGAGCCAGAGAAAAUUGGAGAAUAUUCCUGCAGAUAUAAGUUGGAUGAAACCGAAGUCUUCUCCAGUCCACCUGCUGCCUCGGCGUCCAAACCCACCCGGACCUGGCCAGCCCUCCCCAGACUCACUGUGCCUGGAAUAGAGCCCAACCCCCUCCCAGGGCCCCGAGGCCCCGCCCCCUCUCCUCACUCACCUCUUUCCCCUCAACAAGUUCAGCUGCUUAUGCCUCAGGCCUCAGCACAGGCGCCCACAGCCCAGACCCUCUUCCCUGGCUUUCCCUUCAUCUGGUGUCGCCUCCAGGACCAUCGCUUCAGAGACAACUCAUCUUUAAUGGAAAUUUUCAAUAAUAUACAAAAGUUGGGAGUUCCCUGGUGGCCCAGUGAGUUAAGGUCCUGGCAAUGUCACUGCUAUGGCGCAGGUUCAGUCCCUGGUUCGGGAACUUCCACAUGCCAUGAUGAAGCCAAAAAUAAUAAUAAUAUACAAAAGUAGCCAAAAAUUGCAUAGAACACUUGAAGCAGCCUUGACCUACUUUGAGGAAUUAUCAACCCAGCCAAUCUGGAAUGGCUGAUACCUCACCACUGAUCAUUAUGAAGCAGAUCCCAGACAUCACCUCGUGUCCUCUAUAAU
rnacentral:lncRNA from 1 species